UACGUAGGGUCCGAGCGUUGUCCGGAAUUAUUGGGCGUAAAGAGCUCGUAGGCGGUUUGUCGCGUCUGCUGUGAAAACUGGAGGCUCAACCUCCAGCCUGCAGUGGGUACGGGCAGACUAGAGUGCGGUAGGGGAGAAUGGAAUUCCUGGUGUAGCGGUGGAAUGCGCAGAUAUCAGGAGGAACACCGAUGGCGAAGGCAGUUCUCUGGGCCGUAACUGACGCUGAGGAGCGAAAGCGUGGGGAGCAAACAGG
rnacentral:rRNA from 1 species